rnacentral:rRNA from 1 species
CGCCAGCCUGACGGAGCCAGACCGCGUGGGGGAGGAAGGCCCUUGGGUUGUAAACCCCUUUUCUCAGGGAAGAAACCUGACGGUACCUGAGGAAAAAGCCUCGGCUAACUCCGUGCCAGCAGCCGCGGUAAUACGGAGGAGGCAAGCGUUAUCCGGAAUUACUGGGCGUAAAGCGUCCGUAGGCGGCUGUUCAAGUCUGCUGUCAAAGACCGAGGCUCAACCUCGGGUCGGCAGUGGAAACUGGAUAGCUAGAGGUCGGUAGGGGCAAAGGGAAUUCCCAGUGUAGCGGUGAAAUGCGUAGAUAUUGGGAAGAACACCGGUGGCGAAAGCGUUCUACUGGGUCGCACCUGACCCUCAGGGACGAAAGCUAAGGGAGCG